AUUUUCCUAAAUUACAAGGAUCAAUGCUUCAAGAGGUUCAUGAUGUUGGGAUGCUGUUUUUGUCCUUCUGUUGGGAAUUUUGAGGACCACUACUUGAUGAAUUGUCUACACCAAUACACAUGGGCAAUCAUCAACUGUGCCACCUGUGAGGUAAACAUGGGCCAGCUCUUCACAACUACCAACAAGAAGCUGCAGCGAAGAUCAUUCUGCGGUAUUCGGAGUUCUCAAGUUGCGGACAACAUGUGCCGAGACUCGAGCAUGAAAAAUCAGCAGGGUUUUUUUUCUUUUCUCUAGUUCGUCCUCCCCAAAAUAAACAUGUCUGUAUAGCAAUGAUUAUUUAGCAGGAGUUCAUCUCCCAAUCGUUGUUAUAUCUAUAUCUCUAUACCACUAUUACUUACCGGCAAUUCCAACAACAGUAAUAACACCUGUAGAAUUCACCUCUCUCAUGCUAAAGAUGCCAAAGGAAUGCAGAGCGCAUGGAUUUUAAAGAGGUUUGCUAGAUCCGCUUGCACUUCUACAAGCAGAUAUGUGCUAACCUUACACGUGCAGGACAUCUGAGCCAUGUGUCGGGGAUGUUUGCUGGCUCCACAUGCACUUCCGCAAGUGGAUACGUGCUAACCUGGAAAAUGUGCAGGACAUCUGAGCCAUGUAUCAGGUGUGCUCUACCAUGUACAUAACUGUGAGGAUGGUUAACUCAUCAGUUAGGCCACAUAGAUGAAAACGGUGGAUGGUUUAAACAAGCUCAGCAAUUCUUUUCUAGGCUGUCCAUGGUUUUAACACAUGCAUUUGUUUACAUGCUGAUUUGUCCAGCUCUGAUGUCAGGGCUGAGCCAUCUACAUGAUGGGGCCCACCUAAUACUUGGAUGGGAUGUCUACAAAAUUGUUUUUUCCUUUUCUUAUUUGAUAGAGUGGAUUGUUUUUCAAAGAUGUGACCAACAUCUUUCUAAUGGGGUAGCAGUCCCUGGAAAUGCCUACAACAAUGAUGCAAGUCAGCAUGGCAUGUGUACCAGUUGCAAAUAAGAGACAAAAAUUUACAGUUUUAAUAUGAAGAAUCAUGGUACCAAUGAAUCAGUGUGAAUAGAAUCAAAAGAUCAAAUCCCAAAGGCAAAAAAGAGUUAAAGAACUUAGCUGCAUAAUCAUUAUAUCUAGGUUAGAGAGGGAGGGAGGACCCACCUGGCCCAACUCUAGUUAUAGGUCUCUUUAGUCCAACUUCAAGAUGCCUUUGCUUCCAAUAGAAAAAAAGGCAAAAAUGCUCAACUUCUCUAUUGGAUAUGGGAAAGCCUAUGUUAGACUGGCCCGUGAUUAGAAGUGGCACUACUAAAGAGCAUGGAACUAACGAGGAUGAAGACCGGGCAACUAGAUUGAGGGCAUGCUCACUACGCGCAACUGGAUUCGGGCUAUGAUUCUGGCACCAUCUCUACAGUCUGAUCUAAGAUGAAGGAAGCUUGUCUUCUUGGAUGUGUGGUUGAUUUAAACAGGACAUCGGUUUCUUUGUUUUGGUUUUAAUUAUUAAGUGGUUGCAUCAGUCUCACUGCAAAGAUAUUGGCAUGUCCAUCCAAUUCUACAAUCUGUAGCCAAAUAUUUUAUUGAAAUUUUUUAAUGAAAAGAAAAAUGUAAUUGAAUAUUUUUAUUAGUAAGAUGUAGAUAUUGACGUUGAAUGUAUGGAAUGAUUAAAGCUGGCAAUGGACUAAGCCUGGGCUAGGAAAAAUCAA